rnacentral:snRNA from 1 species
UUGCUUUGGCAGCACAUAUACUAACAUUGGAAUGACACAGAGAAGAUUAGCAUGGCCCCUGCACAAGGAUGACAUGCAAAUUCGUGAAGAGUUCCGUAUUUUU